CCUACGGGCGGCAGCAGUGAGGAAUAUUGGUCAAUGGACGAGAGUCUGAACCAGCCAAGUAGCGUGAAGGAUGACUGCCCUAUGGGUUGUAAACUUCUUUUAUAUGGGAAUAAAAUGAUCCACGUGUGGGAUUUUGUAUGUACCAUAUGAAUAAGGAACGGCUAACUCCGUGCCAGCAGCCGCGGUAAUACGGAGGAUCCGAGCGUUAUCCGGAUUUAUUGGGUUUAAAGGGAGCGUAGGUGGAUUGUUAAGUCAGUUGUGAAAGUUUGCGGCUCAAACGUAAAAUUGCAGUUGAAACUGGCAGUCUUGAGUACAGUAGAGGUGGGCGGAAUUCGUGGUGUAGCGGUGAAAUGCUUAGAUAUCACGAAGAACUCCGAUUGCGAAGGCAGUUCACUGGACUGCAACUGACACUGAGGCUCGAAAGUGUGGGUAUCAAACAGGAUUAGAUACCCCUGUAGUC
rnacentral:rRNA from 1 species